GACGAACGCUGGCGGCGUGCUUAACACAUGCAAGUCGAACGGAAAGGCCCUGCUUUUGUGGGGUGCUCGAGUGGCGAACGGGUGAGUAACACGUGAGUAACCUGCCCUUGACUUUGGGAUAACUUCAGGAAACUGGGGCUAAUACCGGAUAGGAGCUCCUGCUGCAUGGUGGGGGUUGGAAAGUUUCGGCGGUUGGGGAUGGACUGGCGGCUUAUCAGCUUGUUGGUGGGGUAGUGGCUUACCAAGGCUUUGACGGGUAGCCGGCCUGAGAGGGUGACCGGCCACAUUGGGACUGAGAUACGGCCCAGACUCCUACGGGAGGCAGCAGUGGGGAAUAUUGCACAAUAGGCGGAAGCCUGAUGCAGCAACGCCGCGUGCGGGAUGACGGGCUUCGGGUUGUAAACCGCUUUCGCCUGUGACGAAGCGUGAGUGACGGUAAUGGGUAAAGAAGCACCGGCUAACUACGUG
rnacentral:rRNA from 1 species